rnacentral:rRNA from 1 species
UAUCUAUAGUACACUGGCGCACGGGUGAGUAAUAUAUAAGUAAUCUGCCCAAGGGAUUGGGAUAACUUCGAGAAAUCGGAGAUAAUACCGAAUGAUGCAGCGGCACCGCAUGGUGAUGUUGUUAAAGUUGCAGCAAUGUAAUGCCUUUGGAUGAGCUUGUAUUCGAUUAGCUAGUUGGUAGGGUAACUGCCUACCAAGGCUACGAUCGAUAGCUGGUCUGAGAGGAUGAUCAGCCACACUGGAACUGAGAUACGGUCCAGACUCCUACGGGAGGCAGCAGUGAGGAAUAUUGGGCAAUGGGCGAAAGCCUGACCCAGCAACGCCGCGUGAAGGAUGAAUGUCGUAAGAUUGUAAACUUCUUUUCUGAGGGAAGAAUUUUUAUGUCUCGUAAGGGGCAUAAGUUGACUGUACCUUAGGAAUAAGCCCCGGCUAACUACGUGCCAGCAGCCGCGGUAAUACGUAGGGGGCGAGCGUUGUCUCGGAUUUACUGGGUAUAAAGGGGCGCGUAGGCGGACUUAUUAAUUCAGAGGUGAAAAUCUCGCCGCUUAACGGCGAACUGCCCUUUGAUACUGUAAGCCUUGAGUUUCAGAAAAAAGAAAUUGGAAUUCCAGGUGUAUUGGUGGAA